AUUGAACGCUGGCGGCAGGCCUAACACAUGCAAGUCGAGCGGAUGAAGGGAGCUUGCUCCUGGAUUCAGCGGCGGACGGGUGAGUAAUGCCUAGGAAUCUGCCUGGUAGUGGGGGAUAACGUCCGGAAACGGGCGCUAAUACCGCAUACGUCCUGAGGGAGAAAGUGGGGGAUCUUCGCACCUCACGCUAUCAGAUGAGCCUAGGUCGGAUUAGCUAGUUGGUGGGGUAAAGGCCUACCAAGGCGACGAUCCGUAACUGGUCUGAGAGGAUGAUCAGUCACACUGGAACUGAGACACGGUCCAGACUCCUACGGGAGGCAGCAGUGGGGAAUAUUGGACAAUGGGCGAAAGCCUGAUCCAGCCAUGCCGCGUGUGUGAAGAAGGUCUUCGGAUUGUAAAGCACUUUAAGUUGGGAGGAAGGGCAGUAAGUUAAUACCUUGCUGUUUUGACGUUACCAAAAGAAUAAGCACCGGCUAACUUCGUG
rnacentral:rRNA from 1 species